rnacentral:rRNA from 1 species
AGUGAACGCUGGCGGUAGGCCUAACACAUGCAAGUCGAACGGCAGCACCGUAAGAGCUUGCUCUUACGGGUGGCGAGUGGCGGACGGGUGAGGAAUACAUCGGAAUCUACUUUUUCGUGGGGGAUAACGUAGGGAAACUUACGCUAAUACCGCAUACGACCUACGGGUGAAAGCAGGGGAUCUUCGGACCUUGCGCGAUUGAAUGAGCCGAUGUCGGAUUAGCUAGUUGGCGGGGUAAAGGCCCACCAAGGCGACGAUCCGUAGCUGGUCUGAGAGGAUGAUCAGCCACACUGGAACUGAGACACGUUCCAGACUCCGACGGGGGGCAGCAGUGGGGAAUAUUGGACGAUGGGCGCAAGCCUGAUCCAGCCAUACCGCGUGGGUGAAGAAGGCCUUCGGGUUGGAGAGCCCUUUUGUUGGGAAAGAAGAGCAGCAGGUUAAUACCCCGCUGUUCUGACGGUACCCAAAGAAUAAGCACCGGCUAACUUCGUG